GACAUUGCCUUUGGAAUUUUGAUCCUUGUACUCUUCUCUCUGCGCUAUUACUGUAACAAUCUCUUCCACAUCUCAUCUCAUUCUACCAUUCUCUGCUCCCAGCUGCAAAUCAUUUCUUAAAACCAUAUACUCUUCUCUUCCCUGUGCUUUCUGCUCUUUUUGUCUGAAUACUGCUCAGGCAGAGCAGCUCUUGCAGAACAUCUUGAAUCCAGGUAAAGUAUUUAUACUUCAUCUUGUUGGUGUUUUUGAUUGUCACUUCCAGCUAUUGUUUGAAUCCUUUUAAGUAAAGGACAAGAAUCACUAUAGUUUCCAAAAAUAAAUCAAUCGAUCUUUCUCAGUUUUCAUAAUCCAUGUCUUAUGGAGUUAAUGUUGCGCACACUGAACCGAAAACAAACACAAAUAAAACACAAACAAGAAGAUUUACGUGGUUCUCCAAAACCGGGUACGUCCACGGAGGCAGCAGAUUGUAUAUUAUUGGAGGAAUGAUACAAACACUCAACUCAACCCAGUACAAUCCCACAAAGCCCAAUGUUUCACUCUUA